AACUCUUGCCGGUUUCUUGUUCCUCAGAAACCUCAGAUCUCAACCUCACACCACUGACACCGACUUGGACGCAAACAAAGAAAACAAUGAACAACACACCUAACCUUAAAGAAUGAACAUUCAAGGUACAAAGAGGACCCUUUUCCACCUCUUUCUGUUUAUGCUUUAGAUUUUACAAAAAUGUUGUCUUUUCAUAUCGUGAAUUGGUGAGUCUACUGGUUCGUGAUGCAUUGCAAUCUGGGUUCUGGACCUUCCUUGACAUGGCUAGUGGUCGCUAUCUUUGGAGGCACUUAGUGUCUUCCUCUUUCCCAAAGCCUGAAUGAACGGUUCCCAUGGUAUAUAGUUGCUUUUAAUGGUGAUAAUAAUCAUAACUUAGCUGCAAUACACUACUGUCCAGUUCCUUAACAUGUGAUUUAGACUUAUAUGCCAGUGAUUGCUUGUUGCUUUUAUGUGUGUAGCUGUAAAUGGAAUACCAAUAUGGUGCGGUUGAUUCGCAAAUAACCAUGUUUCUUACUCACCAUUUCUCCAACGCAUGUGUUUUAGAGAUUAAUCGUUUGUGAAUGUAUAAACCGUAGGAGAACAAAUAUUUCAACAAAAGAGUAUUUUACAGAUUAGUUUGAGGUUUUGGGAUGAAAGUAUAUCUCAGUUCACGAAAAUGUUGUAAAUUAAAUACGGUUUUCUUCCCUUAGAAACUGGUCUUCUUUAUCUUAUGAUUUUUUUUAAUAAAUUAGUGACUGAAAUGAGAAUUUUAUAG
rnacentral:lncRNA from 1 species